GUUAAGUUACAAAGGGCGCACGGUGGAUGCCUUGGCACUAGGAGCCGAUGAAGGACGGAACUAAUACCGAUAUGCUUCGGGGAGCUAUAAGUAAGCUUUGAUCCGGAGAUUUCCGAAUGGGGGAACCCAGUACACAUCAGUGUAUUGCCUGCAAGUGAAUACAUAGCUUGUUGGCGGCAGACGCGGGGAACUGAAACAUCUAAG
rnacentral:rRNA from 1 species